AAUGAACGCUGGCGGCGCGCCUAAUACAUGCAAGUCGAGCGAGAAGACGUAGCAAUACGUUUGUAAAGCGGCGAACGGGUGAGGAAUACAUGGGUAACCUACCCUCGAGUGGGGAAUAACUAGCCGAAAGGUUAGCUAAUACCGCGUACGCUCCUUGGACUUCGGUUCAGGGAGGAAAGCGAUACCGUGGGUAUCGCGCUCUUGGUUGGGCUCAUGUCCUAUCAGCUUGUUGGUGAGGAACGGCUCACCAAGGCUUCGACGGGUAGCUGGUCUGAGAGGACGAUCAGCCACACUGGCACUGCGACACGGCCCAGACUCCUACGGGAGGCAGCAGUGGGGAAUAUUGGACAAUGGGCGAAAGCCUGAU
rnacentral:rRNA from 1 species